GGGGAGAAAAUGGAGCCGCCCGGAACGGGGGGGGAUUCGACUACGUUUCCCGGCGGCCCGCGGGAAACGUAACUGACGAAUCCCUAAUUUGGAGGAGACUGACUCGUCAUUUCUAAACGCUUAGGCUUGCUGGUGCAGUCGUUUAUUGAGGCACUGAUGUUCUACUGCUGCUUGUUGGGAACAGAGGGAGCAACAGCCCGGUGAAGGACCUUGGCAUCUUCACCCCAUUUUUCUGCUGUCAGCGACUUGGUGUCUGAAUGCCCAGGUUGGGGUUUGCAGGUGAAGCACAGGCAGUUACUUACCGACUGAUCCCUUCAGUGAGAGACACACCAAAACACUUCUCAGGAGUGGAGACAAUACCGUAGCACAAGACUAUUUUGAACGGACCCUGUCCCAUUGCUUGCUUCCGUCAGGUUUCAGAGGGCAGGUGCUUGUUUUCUGAAGAUACCUGGUCAGCUUCCUUGACACGUUCCUGAACUAGAAUCUGACAAGAAGGGGGAUGGAUACUGGAAACGUGCUCUUGAGAACACAGCAAAUGCAGCCUUUCUCCUCUGUCAACAGUUCCAAGAUAGUGUGGUUUAAUUUUUUAGAAUAAGACCACAUCUUUAGCAAAAGGCCAAAAGCUGUAAAACCUUACAAAGCAUUGCUCUGCUAAUAAGAAACAGAAAGGGAGAAUGGGUUUUUAGCCUAAUUUUUGUUUAUUUAACACAAAAUAUUCCCUGGGAUUUCCCCACUGAUCUUAUUAAUAUUUACAUAUAUCUAAAGGGUGGGUGUCAGGAGGUUGGGACAUCCCUUUUUUCUAUAGUAGCUAGCAACAGGAC